rnacentral:rRNA from 1 species
UACGAAGGGGGCUAGCGUUGCUCGGAAUCACUGGGCGUAAAGGGUGCGUAGGCGGGUCUUUAAGUCAGGGGUGAAAUCCUGGAGCUCAACUCCAGAACUGCCUUUGAUACUGAAGAUCUUGAGUUCGGGAGAGGUGAGUGGAACUGCGAGUGUAGAGGUGAAAUUCGUAGAUAUUCGCAAGAACACCAGUGGCGAAGGCGGCUCACUGGCCCGAUACUGACGCUGAGGCGCGAAAGCUGGGGGAGCAAACGGGG